UGUGUGUGUGUGUGUGUGUGUGUGUGUGUGUGUGUAAGAGAGAGCUGGGGCAAGUGGCUGUGGCUUCCCCAGUGGGAGAGGAAUUUUCAUGAGCACCGGCUCUACUCAGCUGGGGCCGGGGACCAGGAGACCCUGUUCCUGGACGCUCCUUUUAAACAGAAGACAGAGCUCUGAGCACAGAAGUGGGGGCAUUGCUGAGAGGUUUGCUUGCCCAGGGUCUGCAGAGAAACCCUAAGAACAACUCACGGCUCACGCCAGUCUUCAGGGACUGGGGUGGAGCUCUGUCGCCAUCUCCUGCUGAGGACAGAGAAGCGCACUCUCCGGUUGGACAGACUUGAAACUUGCGGGGAAGACCAGGGCUCUCUGCUGACCUCUGAGCAGAGGGGGCUCGGAAGGACAGCGAAAUGGAAGGCACUUUUGAAGAAUCCCAUCACACACACAAGCUGGAUUGAGCGCAUUAACGUUGCAGCCCUCAGCUGCCCCCAGAUUCCAGGGACAGGGGCAGGGGACAGUCAGGUCAGAAAGGGCUUCUGAUCCCAAGGACCUCACCCCAGGGAGCUUCUGCUUCCAGUCCCAGCCACCACCUUCCUCCCUGUCCCACAGGAAAGUUGCUGCCCGCUGUGGCCCCUGGAGGGACAGCCAGGACCCGGUGGAGGCAUCCAGCUCCAGAGCUCACCUGGGACUCUGAUCCUGGGUGGCAGGACUCCAGCCUUCUCCGUCCCUGUCCCUUCCUGGCCUGCUGUCUUGGACAGAGGUGGCAGGGCUGGGCUCCCUCCAGGGGGCAGAAGGACAGGGG
rnacentral:lncRNA from 1 species